ensembl:lncRNA
AGGAGACAGACUUUGGAGUCCUGUCACUGAUGUUAGUUGACCUCGCAAUAAAGCUCUCUUUUUUGCUCAAACUUUGGCCUCUAUAUGUGGGUUAGGUAGUGAGUCCUUGCUCAGUAAUACUUUGAAGGAAAGCUGAAAUCUCAGAAGAUCAGAUAGGCUGACAUGAGAGAAUGGAGGAAAUGGAGUGGGAAAGUGGGAGUUUUACCUGUUACAAGGUCAGAAAACCUGAGAAGGCAAUGGCAACCCACUCCAAUACUCUUGCCUGGAAAAUCCCAUGGACGGAGGAGCCUGGUGGGCUGCCGUCUAUGGGGUCGCACAGAGUCGGACAUGACUGAAGUGACUUAGCGGCAGCAGCAGGUCAGGUCAGAAAACAGGGCUGGCAUUUGGUGAAAUCUAACAGAUAAAAAUGAGGGAGAAGACGGGAAUGACUUCACUAGAAGUAGCUGGACUCUGGGAAACUCUCUGAGAGGUGCUCUCCUAAACCUACAUCUGUUAAGCUCUGUAGUGAGAACAGAUGGGGGAGUAAUACAUUAACAGUUGUAGACUGGGAGGACCGCUGGGCCAAAGAGCUAAGGAAGCUGGACCAACUUAAGGGAGGAACACCAGGAAUUCACAUAAAAUGAUGCAGUCAUUUUGAGGGGAGAGAAGAUGGGGGUCUAUGUCCUGAGGGAAUGCACAUAUUGGCUAAUUAUACCAGUGUAAUGGACACGAAGGGAAGAUGCUCUCUAAGAGGCACUAGUGGUAAAGAACCCGCCUGCCAACACAGGAGAUGCAGGGUUCAAUCAGGUUGGGAAGAUCCCCUGAAGGAGGAAAUGGCAACCCACUCCAAUGGUCUUGCCUGGAGAAUCCCACGGGCAGAGAAGACUGGGAGGCUACAGUCCAUAGUGUCACAAAGAAGUUGGACCAAAGAGAAGGCUGAGCAUUGAAGAAUUCAUGGUUUCAGGUUAUGGUGCUGGAGAAGACUCUUGAGAGUCUCUUGGACAGUAAGGAGAUCAAACCAUUCAAUCCUAAAGGAAAUCAACCCUGAGUAUUCAUUGGAAGGACUGAUGUUGAAGCUCCAAUACUUUAGGCACCUGAUGCAAAGAGCAGACUCACUGAAAAAGGCCCUGAUGCUGGAAAGAUUGAAAGUGAACGGAGAAGCGGGUGGCAGAGGAUGAGGUGGUUGGAUAGCAUCACUGACUCAAUGGACAUGAAUCUGAGCAAACUCCAGGACAUAGUGAAGGACAGGAGUACCUGGCACAUUGCAGUCCAUGAGGUCACAAAGAGUCAGAUGCAACUUAGAGACUGAACAGCCACAACACACCUCCGUGCUUGUAAUUGCAAGCAUUCCUCAUCCUGUGCUCACAUUUCCUAUCUUUCCACAUCAUUCACUCCAAUAAUCCAACUCCAGAGAGAAUUACCAAUAUCAUGGAAGAUUAAAGAGAUCACUACAGAUCCUAUAGACAUUUAAAAAAUAAGAUUAUGAACAGCUGCAUGCCAAUUUGACCACCAGUCGAAACUUUUAAAGAUAGAACAGGUAAAAAUGACAAAAAUAUCAAAAGGAACUCCUAAUUAAAAUCCUUACCAAAAUGAAAACUCCAGUUUUCAAUCCGGGGAAUGAAAUUCUCCAAAUGGUGAAUUCUUUUCAAACAAUUUAAGGAUGAAAUAAUGUUAAUCCUACACAAACUUCUUCAGGAAAAGAAGAAAAAUCAAUUGCCAUCUUAUUUUAUGAAGUCAAACAUUACCUUGAUGUCAAAACAGGCAAGAGUAUAGACCAAUGUCCCUCGUGAAUAUAAGGGUAAAAAUUCUUAGCAAAACAUUAACAAAUCUAAUUCAGUGUUUUAAAGGUUUUUCUAUAACCAAGUGGAACUUAUCCCAGGAAUGCAAGAUAGGUUUAAUAUUCAAAAAUCAAACAAUGUAACUUACCAUAUUAACAGAACUAAGAACAUAUAUGAUCAUCUCAAUAUAUACAAAGAAAGCAUUUGGCAAAAUUCAAUACCCACCCAUAAUUUUAAAAAAAAGCUUACAUCUAUGAAAAACCUACAGUUAACAUCAUACACAGUUGUGAAAGACUGAAUGCUUUCUUUCAAAUAUCAGGAGCAAGACAAGCAUCCAUUCUUUUCUAUUCAACAUUGUACUAGAAUUCCAAACCAAUA